rnacentral:misc_RNA from 1 species
GAAAUGCGAUAAGUAAUGUGAAUUGCAGAAUUCAGUGAAUCAUCGAAUCUUUGAACGCACCUUGCGCUCCUUGGUAUUCCUUGGAGCAUGCCUGUUUGAGUAUCAUGAAAUCUUCAAAGUAAAUCUUUUGUUAACUCAAUUGGUUUCUACUUUGGUAUUGGAGGUCUUUGCAGCUUCACACCUGCUCCUCUUUGUUCAUUAGCUGGAUCUCAGUGUUAUGCUUGGUUCCACUCGGCGUGAUAAGUUAUCUAUCGCUGAGGACACUGUAAAAGGUGGCCAAGGUAAAUGCAGAUGAGCCGCUUCUAAUAGUCCAUUGACUUGGACAAUACUUUUAUGAUCUGAUCUCGAAUCAGGUAGGACUACCCGCUGAACUUAAGC